UGCAGGACUCACGGUUUUGCCUCGA
rnacentral:piRNA from 1 species